GUGAGCUUUCCAUAACCCUCCUCUUUACCCCGGCACACGGCCUCCUUGCCUGGCUCAGCGGCCUGUGUGUGAUCCCCCGAGUGGCCGGGGCCAGCUCACCUGCUGUGUGAACUGCCUGCGUUUCCUGGACCCAAACCUGACCGGGCUUCUGGUUCGCGGCCCUGUUCCCUGCAUGUUGGGGCAUGGAUGCUGCUGGAGCUCAGCUAAGUUCUGUGCACAAGGCCAGGCCACAGGCAAACAGACACCCACCUGCGCGCCUGCGCCUUCUCAGCCAAUGCUGGCUCGGUCUGAUUUCAUUCAGAGGGCAGAUGUCUGGGCUGGGUCCUGGGAUUCAGUCACAGACCCCGUCCUCAUGGAGAGGGGCGACACAGGAACAGGACAUCGAGGAUCCCAAGGUGGUGCUGGGCACUGCUCAGAGAGGCAGAAUGCCAGGGAAGGACAAAGGACCCUGCUCUGCCCGGCCGUGCAUGCUGGGCCAGGGAUCGGAGACUGGCAAUACCAAGAGGAAACACACUUUUAAAAGAAAAUCUCCCUGGGGUCUUCAGACACCUGGAGCCUGUGACUUGGGCCCUGGGCCAAGCUUUGCACCUGUGAGCAGUGCUUCCUCCCACAGACUCUGCCCUGCAGGAAGCAGAGGCAGGAGUGGGCAGUGGAUCUCAGCUUCACACAGGGAAACGGUUUGCAGGUUUGCACUGCGACACAGCUGCUGGGUGGGUGACUGAUGGAAAGCAGCACACACACCCCAGAUCGCCCAUCCUGAAGACACCCAAGCCCCAUAAAUACACCAGGCUCGGGUCAUAAGGAGCCUCCCUCCCUUGAGGACCCACACUCUAUUUCUUUGAGCCCGUACUUUUAAGUUGCCACCUAAUAAAUCCCUUAAUGCUG
rnacentral:lncRNA from 1 species